rnacentral:misc_RNA from 1 species
AACGCACGAGACCUGCGGACCUGCGGAGGGAUCAUUAGUGAACGCCCUCGCGGGCUUAUAACUAUUCCAAACCUCUGUGAACCGUGCCCUUCGGGGCUAUUUUACAAACAUGGUGUAAUGAACGUCAUAUAUCAUAACAAAACAAAACUUUUAACAACGGAUCUCU